UAGCGUAGGGUGCAAGCCGUUGUCCGGAAUUAUUGGGCGUAAAGAGCGUGUAGGCGGCCCGAUUAGUCCGCUGUGAAAGUCCAGGGCUCAACCCUGGAAUGCCGGUGGAUACUGUCGGGCUAGAGUCCGGAAGGGGCGAGUGGAAUUCCUGGUGUAGCGGUGAAAUGCGCAGAUAUCAGGAGGAACACCAAUGGCGAAGGCAGCUCGCUGGGACGUGACUGACGCUGAGACGCGAAAGCGUGGGGAGCAAACAGG
rnacentral:rRNA from 1 species